rnacentral:misc_RNA from 1 species
AAAGUCGUAACAAGGUCUCCGUAGGUGAACCUGCGGAGGGAUCAUCAAAGAAUUUUCCAUAAAGUGCUACUUUCUUUCGAAAGAGAGGGGGUGGUGCUUUCAAACAAACGAUCACAACUAUUGAAAAAGAGAGAGAGAGAGAAUGGAUUGGAUUUGAUUUUGGUGGGGGGACAGAGAAAAAAAGUGUUUGCCUGAUAAUUUUGAUUGGAAAAAGAAAAAUACACAACUUUCAACAACGGAUCUCUUGGCUCUC